UACGAAGGGGGCUAGCGUUGUUCGGAAUCACUGGGCGUAAAGGGCGCGUAGGCGGCUUUAUAAGUCGGGGGUGAAAGCCUGUGGCUCAACCACAGAAUUGCCUCGAUACUGUAUGGCUUGAGACCGGAAGAGGUAAGUGGAACUGCGAGUGUAGAGGUGAAAUUCGUAGAUAUUCGCAAGAACACCAGUGGCGAAGGCGGCUCACUGGCCCGGUACUGACGCUGAGGUGCGAAAGCGAUGGGGAGCAACAGGG
rnacentral:rRNA from 1 species